CAAACAUUGAAAUCAACAGAUUUGCCUAAAUUUUAAAUUGACAGACAGAUAUUCACAAACAGACUGACAGAUUUUCUGAAAAUUUUAACUAGACAGAUUGAUUGACUGACAGAUAGAUUUCCCAAUACAUUUAAACUCACAGACAGAUUCCCCCAUACAUUUACAGUUAGAGACAGGAGACAGAUUUCCCCAGACAGAAACAUUUCCCCAAACAUUGAAAUUGACAGACAGAUUUCCCUGUAUUAUAAAAUGACAGACAGACAGAUAUUCCCAAAUAGUUAGACUGAUAGAUUGUCCAAAACAUUUAACUAGACAGAUUGACUGACGGAUACAUUUUCCAUUAAAU